GUGAACGCUGGCGGUAGGCCUAACACAUGCAAGUCGAACGGCAGCACAGUAAGAGCUUGCUCUUACGGGUGGCGAGUGGCGGACGGGUGAGGAAUACAUCGGAAUCUACUUUUUCGUGGGGGAUAACGUAGGGAAACUUACGCUAAUACCGCAUACGACCUACGGGUGAAAGCAGGGGAUCUUCGGACCUUGCGCGAUUGAAUGAGCCGAUGUCGGAUUAGCUAGUUGGCGGGGUAAAGGCCCACCAAGGCGACGAUCCGUAGCUGGUUUGAGAGGAUGAUCAGCCACACUGGAACUGAGACACGGUCCAGACUCCUACGGGAGGCAGCAGUGGGGAAUAUUGGACAAUGGGCGCAAGCCUGAUCCAGCCAUACCGCGUGGGUGAAGAAGGCCUUCGGGUUGUAAAGCCCUUUUGUUGGGAAAGAAAAGCAGCAGGUUAAUACCCCGCUGUUCUGACGGUACCCAAAGAAUAAGCACCGGCUAACUUCGUG
rnacentral:rRNA from 1 species